CUGACGGCGACGCCUCUCGCUAUAUAUAUGCACACCAUUAGUUGUUUCAAAGCCAUUACAAUUGCAGCCUUCAUCACAGGUUUGUUAAUUUUCAAUAUUUCUUCCAAACCCUUUUUCAGUGCCAUGGCUAUGGCAUCGUUAGCAAUGUUUUAUUCAGUAUUAUGCGUCGAUUACUGAUUGCCGGCGCUCUUCGAUUGAAAUUGGGCGUUGCGCAUGAGCCGACGCCAGAUCUGCAUAGAUCCGGUCCUGUUUUUGAAACGUGAGAUUCCUUUGCAUGGAACUUCAGUCUGGACAGGACAGCAAAGUUGUGAUUGGAGCUACAAUUAAUUGAGAUGUUACUAUCAUCAGAGAUGAAGCUUUUUCAUUUUGGGAA